rnacentral:rRNA from 1 species
GAUGAACGCUGGCGGCGUGCCUAACACAUGCAAGUCGAGCGAAGCGCUUAAAUUGGAUUCUUCGGAUGAAGAUUUUUGUGACUGAGCGGCGGACGGGUGAGUAACGCGUGGGUAACCUGCCUUACACAGGGGGAUAACAGUUAGAAAUGACUGCUAAUACCGCAUAAGACCACGGUACCGCAUGGUAUGGUGGUAAAAACUGAGGUGGUGUAAGAUGGACCCGCGUCUGAUUAGGUAGUUGGUGGGGUAACGGCCCACCAAGCCGACGAUCAGUAGCCGCCCUGAGAGGGUGGACGGCCACAUUGGGACUGAGACACGGCCCAG